rnacentral:rRNA from 1 species
UACAGAGGGUGCGAGCGUUAAUCGGAAUUACUGGGCGUAAAGGGCGCGUAGGUGGUUAUGUAAGCAGUAUGUGAAACCCCCGGGCUUAACCUGGGACGUGCAUAUUGAACUGCAUAGCUGGAGUGCAGUAGAGGGUAGUGGAAUUUCCGGUGUAGCGGUGAAAUGCGUAGAUAUCGGAAGGAACACCGGUGGCGAAGGCGACUACCUGGACUGAGACUGACACUGAGGCGCGAAAGCGUGGGGAGCAAACAGG